rnacentral:rRNA from 1 species
GACGAACGCUGGCGGCGUGCUUAACACAUGCAAGUCGAACGGAAAGGCCCUGCUUUUGUGGGGUGCUCGAGUGGCGAACGGGUGAGUAACACGUGAGUAACCUGCCCUUGACUUUGGGAUAACUUCAGGAAACUGGGGCUAAUACCGGAUAGGAGCUCCUGCUGCAUGGUGGGGGUUGGAAAGUUUCGGCGGUUGGGGAUGGACUCGCGGCUUAUCAGCUUGUUGGUGGGGUAGUGGCUUACCAAGGGUUUGACGGGUAGCCGGCCUGAGAGGGUGACCGGCCACAUUGGGACUGAGAUACGGCCCAGACUCCGACGGGAGGCAGCAGUGGGGAAUAUUGCACAAUGGGCGGAAGCCUGAUGCAGCAACGCCGCGUGCGGGAUGACGGCCUUCGGGUUGUAAACCGCUUUCGCCUGUGACGAAGCGUGAGUGACGGUAAUGGGUAAAGAAGCACCGGCUAACUACGUG